UCUUCUCUCACUAUGCUUCGGAAAUAAAGGAAAUUUUCUCUCCGACUCGCACCUUCACACGCUGACAUGUGUGUUCUUGCCCGAUGCCCCGAUCCCCUUUCUCCUGUCCUUCUCUCCGCUCACUCCAGAUUUGCUGCCACCGGAUGAGGCCCGGCUUGUAUCGCUGGUAAAUCCUAAGCUCCCAUGGGUUUCCCUUGAUUUGUUGCCCUUAGCGGCUGAGCCUGCUCAUCCUCAGCUGUGGGCACCCCCGCAACUCGAAUCACUGGUGCGACCACAGGGUCACUGGCGGCUGGUUUGGCUCCUCGUAUGCCUCCUCUAUUUCCUGGGCCAGUAAAUUGUGACAGAUGUGUAGCAGGGCCCGAGAAACCGCUGCGCAAGAAGGGAGGCGAGAUCGUCGAUCUGUACAUUGUCAUUAUUGUCGGCGUCCGUGCAGGUGAUGUGGGCGUGGAGCUCGUCUCCCGCAUCCAGCAUGGAAACAGCUUGAGUAUGAGGAUCCUGGCAACGUUGUUGUCCCCAAGCACGCAAGCCAGACGCCUCAUCGCUGUUCCCACUCGAGGCGGCCGAGUUGUGGUUAUCCUGGACAACAGCAGCAUUCUUCGACCUACAGACAGUACGCAUGCCCGGUGAUCCUCCUGAGGCUUGAGCCUACGUCCGGCUACUAUGGAACAUGGCAAGGUUUACACCUUGGCUUCAGAUUCAGUUCACGUGGAUGUACUUUGUAACCACUUUAUCCUUUCCCUUCCCUUUCUUUGGAAUAUAUGGAUUGAUUUGUCAUACAUCCAUGAUCCAAAAAUUGGAUGGGUGCUUACCUUCAAAAAAUUGAUCAGCACGACGAUACGUGAGUCAGAUAUGUCGGAUCAACUUGCACUUCAACCAAAGCCCACGACGAAGUUAGGCAUUCAUCUUCCCUUGAGAUCUGUACGCCUUUUACCCCGCUACCGAUCGUAGUGUAGAAGACGUCAACAACAGAGAGGAUGCAUCAGGGGAGAGGAGCUAUAUAUGGGUUGACGUUGAGGGUACAUGAUUAGCCCAAGGAGAGGCUUAAUCCAUCUCGCCGGCGACUUCAUCGCCCGGCUUGGCCGCAGCGAGAGCAUGGAGAUGAUAGAUUAGGUGUUAAGCGGGCGUGCUAUUUUCGCCCUAGGUGCUAGGCUGUUUUUUUAGAUCCAAUUUGUGGGUAUCUUCUUUUGUUAAUAUUUUUUUGGUUUUUAUAUAAAAUGUGUGGACUCCUUUUUUAAUGUGAGGAUGUGUAUGGACUCUU